rnacentral:rRNA from 1 species
GAACUUAAGCAUAUCAAUAAGCGGAGGAAAAGAAACAACAGGGAUUGCCCUAGUAACGGCGAGUGAAGCGGCAACAGCUCGAAUUUGAAAUCUGGCCUCGGCCCGAGUUGUAAUCUGUAGAGGACGCUUUUGGCGCGGUGCCUUCCGAGUUCCCUGGAACGGGACGCCACAGAGGGUGAGAGCCCCGUAAGGUCGGACACCAAGCCUGUGUAAAGCCCCUUCGACGAGUCGAGUAGCUUGGGAAUGCUGCUCUAAGCGGGAGGUAUACUUCUUCUAAAGCUAAAUAUUGGCCAGAGACCGAUAGCGCACAAGUAGAGUGAUCGAAAGAUGAAAAGCACUUUGAAAAGAGGGUCAAAUAGUACGUGAAAUUGUUGAAAGGGAAGCGCUUGUGAUCAGACUCGCGCCGGGCGGAUCAUCCAGUGGUCUCCACUGGUGCACUCCGGCCGGCGCGGGCCAGCGUCGGCUGUUGCGGGGGGACAAAAGCUCUGGGAACGUGGCUCUCUCCGGGGAGUGUUAUAGCCCUCUGCAGAAUACCCCCGCGGCGGCCGAGGUCCGCGCAUUGCAAGGACGCUGGCGUAAUGGUCAUCAGCGACCCGUCUUGAAACACGGACCAAGGAGUCGAGGUUUUGCGCGAGUGUUCGGGUGCAAAGCCCCAGCGCGUAAUUAACGUGAACGUAGGUGAGAGCUUCGGCGCAUCAUCGACCGAUCCUGAUGUAUUCGGAUGGAUUUGAGUAGGAGCGUAAAGCCUCGGACCCGAAAGAUGGUGAACUAUGCCUGUAUAGGGUGAAGCCAGAGGAAACUCUGGUGGAGGCUCGCAGCGGUUCUGACGUGCAAAUCGAUCGUCAAAUAUGGGCAUGGGGGCGAAAGACUAAUCGAACCAUCUAGUAGCUG